UAUUUUGCCUGAAAUAAUGCAACAUUUUUACUGUGGAAAUCAGCUAUCUCUGAUGGAAUUUUACUGUUCCGGAAAGAAGCUAUUUGAAUUGAAACAUCACAUCUUUGGUUCCUGCUAAGCAUCUCUCUGACAUGCAGAGUAAUCAAGACCUUCUAGUGAAAGAGUUCCCUCAUUGGCCUUGAACGUGAUUGAUGGUGAUGGGAGGCUGCUUUGCUCGUGGAAUUUCAGGGAGCUGUGGCAUGUUUAUGCCACAGGUGCCAAAGGCUGAAAUGUGGACUGUAUAAGAAGUCAUACGCAGUUUGGAGUAAGCCCCCAGGGAUGUCAGAGAAACAGAAAUGGAAGGGAGCAUGGAUCUCUGAUAUCAUCAAUCUGCCAUACCAGCAAUGGACUACAUACUCAGGCUGUUUUGGGAAGAAAGAAAUAAAUUACUGUUGGUAAGGAAAAAAAAAAAAAUCAACUAUAUUGUCGAACCUCUGAAUACAGAGAUCUAGCCUUGAAUCUUCAAUAUAUCAGUCUAGCUGGCAAUCUCAUACAUCGUCCUGCACAUAUUGUCUAAGUGCCUGUCUUCUCACCAAGCUUUAUAAAACAAUAAGGCUACAUUACAUUCACUAACUUUGAGUCCCCAUUUAAGUAAUUUCAGAAUCUAGUAAAUUUUCAGGAUCCAUCUUUUUUUCCUUUUAAUUAUUUCUCAAAGUCCCCACAAGUUUUCUCACAGUGCUAGUAAAUUAAUCAAGGCUCUUUGUAUACAACACUGCUUGACAUCUAUUCUGGGACCUUGCUCAUCUCUAUUUCUGUUCUAUGAUAUACCCUAAGGAACUGAAGGUUACUUUUCUCAUUUUACUGAUUCCUAGUUAUUUCAAGAUAAAAAGAUGAGUUGGAUUCUUCAUUCUGUAUAUUAUGCUUUGUUUGGGAGUCAUAGCUCCAUUAUUUUCAUCCUACGGUUUACCUCAACUAUCAAGGUGGCUAGUUGGGAUCAUUUGUGUUAACAACCUCCCGUGAAUUUUGACUUCUUGUAUCUGACUUAUUUCAUCAGAAUGAGUUCUAUCUCUAUGAUCUCAUAGUGUCCCUGAAAAUUAUACUUCUAGAGCUUCUUUAUUUGCUAAUUUUAGUUCUCACUGUGCUGACUGCAAACUCCAUUUUGGGAUAUACUUUGAAUAAUUUUUCCAGAAAUAAAAAAUGCAACAGGAAAAUUGAAAAGAUAUACUAAAAAAUUUCUGAUAAUCUGGAAGAAGGCAGGAUUAAAGUAGAUAUCUGUGCAAUUGGAGUAGAAGCUGAGUAUAGAAUUUGUAUGUUUAUGGAGAAGCAGAAUUUCGUUCUAACCAGCCAGUAUCUCACCUUUAUGAUGUAGAAUACCUUACAGCAUGGAUGCUCAGAUCUCAAUGGUAACACUAUUUUUUUUUUGUCUCCUAUGUUUUAAACCUUUUAGUUGCUAUUUUAAAAUAAGAGAAAAAUAAUCCCAUUUUACUAAUACUGAAUUCUAUAACUCAAAACAAAGCGUGAAGUUUCAAGAAUAUCUGAAAAACAAACAAACAAAGCUGGAAUGACUAGCAAUUACAUCUUCUGUAAUAAUAUGGAUCUUUGAUUUCCUAAAUAGAAGUUGGCUCAAAUACAUAUUAAUUUAAAAUGUGAAAAUUCUAAUGUAGAAUUACUUGAGCUUUGUUACUUAAGAGUGAUAUGAAAGAGAGAGGAAAGGGGUGCAUAUUUAAAAGAGAACUCGUUUUAUUAAAACUUUCUGGAAAGGCUUUACCAAAUUUUAGUUCAUUUUCUUAUUUCUCAAAACACAGGAAGGCAGCUAAUUGAAAGAGAACAACUUGAAACCAUUUUUAGAAUACAAAGGGAAUAAAUAAAUGAAAAAAUAUAUAUGCAGAAUUGAAGGUCAAUACCAAAUAGCUUUAGUACUAUUGGCGGUAGCCUCAUUUUCAAGGCAAUAGCAGCCGGUUGGUCAAUGUAAGUAAGCAUCAUGUAGAAUUGCUAUUAUAGAGUCUAUAUUCCUUAACCACCUUCACGUAGAAAGAGGGCAAGUAAUAUUGGAAUGCCUAGUAAUGGAUUAAUAUAUUUUAUUAAAAUUUUCUGUAAUGUGAAUUUGAAAAUGUAUUUUGGAAACAUAUUUUGGUUCAGCCAAGAACCAUCUAAUGGCGGUUCUACUCUAGAAAAGAGGAAUAGUCGUGAGCCUUGACCUGCAGAUUUGGAUCCUACUUACUGAAGUGCCAAAGCUGGAGUUACCCAAGUAGUAAACAUUUUGACAUAGUAACCCCAAACUAAAAAUUCUUAGGUGAAUUUGCAAGUUUACAUAGCAUUGUUAAAUGAAAAAGUAACUUUCCUGUUGACUUCAGCCACAGAGCACAUAUAACAGCUACACUAACAAUGCCAAAAUAAAGUGGGGGAGGGAGCAGAGAGAAGAAGGAAAUAAUCAUUUAUAUGAAUUGGAAAUACGAAACGUUCCAAGCAAAAAUGAGUUACACUUUGAAAGUAUUUUCUCAAUGUCAAAAUGUUUUCUAAUGGGCCAGAAAAAGAUGGAAAAUACUUUCUACUUAAAAACAUAAUUAGACUCACAAAUAUUCUUCCCAUUAGCAUCAUCUUUCCCCAAAAUGCUCUCUGUUUACUAUUAAUUAUUCUCUACUGCUCAUUGUGUCCAGAUGACUGCAUGUAUAAUAAUGUAAGCAUAAGCAUGUAAUAAAUAUAAUCAUUGUUUUCCCCCUAAUAGAUUUGUAUGAAAAACAAAUAAAAGGUUCCUCAGAAGCUAGGUUUCAAGGAUUUCAUGAAACUGAUUUGCCCACCUUCCUGAUCACUGGCUAUAUUAACCCUUUUGCUUCUUUCAUAUAAUUAUGUCAACAUGCAUAAGAUGA